rnacentral:rRNA from 1 species
UACGAAGGGGGCUAGCGUUGCUCGGAAUCACUGGGCGUAAAGGGUGCGUAGGCGGGUUUUUAAGUCAGAGGUGAAAUCCUGGAGCUCAACUCCAGAACUGCCUUUGAUACUGAAAGUCUUGAGCAUGGGAGAGGUGAGUGGAACUGCGAGUGUAGAGGUGAAAUUCGUAGAUAUUCGCAAGAACACCAGUGGCGAAGGCGGCUCACUGGCCCAUUACUGACGCUGAGGCACGAAAGCGUGGGGAGCAAACAGG